UGUGCAGACUAAGUCUAUAGGUUUAUGUUUGUCUCAGUGUGUGCUGACUCACUGUGAUAAAUCAAUUUAUAUACCAGGAUGAAUCAUCUCGAUUAUGCAAACAGCGAUAUUGUAUAAGAUACAACACAAAUGAUUUAGAUUAAAAAAUAUUUCGAGAUCUAAACUUAAACCCAUGUAUAUAAUGCACUUAAUUAAAAAU
rnacentral:lncRNA from 1 species